GGGGCCUUAGCUCAGUUGGUAGAGCACCGGCUUUGCAAGCCGGGUGUCAGGGGUUCGAAUCCCCUAGGCUCCACCA
rnacentral:tRNA from 22 species